rnacentral:rRNA from 1 species
CCUACGGGGGGCAGCAGUGGGGAAUAGUGGGCAAUGGGCGCAAGCCUGACCCAGCAACGCCGCGUGAAGGAAGAAGGCUUUCGGGUUGUAAACUUCUUGUAAGAGGGAAGAGCAGAAGACGGUACCUCUUGAAUAAGCCACGGCUAACUACGGGCCAGCAGCCGCGGGAAUACGUAGGUGGCAAGCGUUGUCCGGCUUUACGGGGUGGAAAGGGCGUGCAGCCGGGAAGACAAGUCAGAUGUGAAAUCCCGCGGCUCAACCGCGGAACUGCAUUUGAAACUGUUUUUCUUGAGUACCGGAGAGGUCAUCGGACUUCCUUGUGUAGCGGUGAAAUGCGUAGAUAUAAGGAAGAACACCAGUGGCGAAGGCGGAUGACUGGACGGCAACUGACGGUGAGGCGCGAAAGCGUGGGGCGCAAACAGGAUUCGAUACCCUUGUAGUC